UUUCCCCUCUGGCCCUCUCCGCUCCACUCCAACAGAUCCCCGCACGAGCUGUGAGGAGGGCGAUAUGACGCCCAGGCCCAGCCUUCGCCGCCGCCCCAGCUCGCCGGCGUCGGCGCCGCCGCUGGACGACGACGACCUCCUCUCCGAGAUCCUCCUCCGUCUCCCUCCGCAGCCGUCCUCCCUCCCACGCGCUUCCGCGGUCUGCAAGCGCUGGCGCGGCCUCGUCUCCGACCCCGGCUUCCUCAGCCGCUUCCGGAUCCACCACCGCCGCCACCCUCCCCUCCUCGGCUGCUUCGUCAAAACUUCCGACGAGCUCUACUUCGAGCCUACCCUGGAGCCCCCCAACCAUGUCCCGCGCGCCCGCUUCUCCCUUCAGAAACUCCCCCGCGACAGCUUCCUGCUCCUCGGAUGCCGCCAUGGCCUCGUGCUAACCUUCGACUGGAGGAAGUUGCAGAUCCUGGUGUGGGAUCUCGCCAACGGCCUCCAGCAAAGCAUCGCCUUCCCCCCGGGGUUUCACAUGGUGGAGACCCUGAUCCACCUCCAGGGGGCAGUGCUUCGUGCUGCCGCAGACGGCCAGCACUUCCAGGUGUGUUUGGUAGGCUUGGAGAGAGGCUCCCAACAAAAUUAUGCGCGAGUGAUAGCCUGCGUUUACUCGUCCGAGACCGGCAGCUGGGGUAAUCUCGUCUCAACAGCAUUUCCAUCCGUGCCUUAUCUGCAUGUAGAUCCCACCAUCGUUUUCAUGGCCAAGCCCGGUGUGCUGGUUGGGGAUUUCCUUUACUGGGCGCUUACUGGGAAUUUUGUUCGAAUUAUCGAGUUUGAUCUGAAGAGGCAGAGCCUAGCUGUGAUAGGGAUCCCGGUGGAUAUGGAUUCUUGGAGAGAUUACGAGUACUCAGUUAUGCGGGCUGAUGAUGGUGGGCUUGGCUUCCUCUUUCUGUCAGACUUCAGUGCCCAAUUAUGGAAGAGGAAGACCGAUUGUGAUGGUGCUGCUCCAUGGGUGCUGGGAAGAACUAUUGAACUGGGCAAGCUACUUUCCCUAAAUUUACAUAGUGAGCAGGUGCCCCUAAGGAUUCUAGGAUAUGCUGAGGAAAAUAAUGUGGUGUUCUUGUCGACAGUUCACGGUGUCUUCAUGAUCCAGCUUGAUCCAUUGCAGUCAAAUAAUGUGGUGUUCUUGUCGACAGUUCUCGGUGUCUCUCCUCUCUAUUAUCCAUUCGAAAGUAUCUAUACUGCAGGCAUGGGCAUUGCUGGUGGUCAUGAUGGGGCUAAACUUUUGCACAAUGCAUAAGAUGAUUGGUCAGAUUAAUAUGCUAUCAUGAUGUACUGGAUUGGGCAGGUAUCUAGAGUUACAUUCUGGUGGCUAAGAUGCAAUGGCUUGUUGGGUGCGAGUUAUUCCAUUUCAUAUGCUCCACACGGAAAUUAACACUGUGGCAUGCACCGGUGAUUAGUUGAAUCUUCAGCUGAUCCCAUCUAAUGAAUGUUGAACAUAGAAUUGCGCCCAAAGUAGCCGGAAACGGGGAACGGUGGGCCGUCCCUCGAUCCAGAUUCAUCGACCCAGAAUCAGAUUCGGGAACGAGGGUCGAUUCGGUAAGAUUCGAUGCGGAUUCGACGUUUCCGCAGCCGGAUCAUCAAUUCAGGUUCGGCGACUCGACAGUCGUGGUUCUUGAAUCGAUCGAGUAAGCAAAAGGCUGCUGAUAAAUUUUCCAUUGGGAAGGAGAUGAUUUAUUUUAGUCUUCAUGGAUCGACGAUGCAGCCAGUUGCUCCCAGCCCAGCCAGUUCCCUGUAUAAGUACUCCCUCGGUCCCUCCCAGCCAGUUGCUCCCGGCAUCCAGCGACCAGAGGCACAUGCAGCAGUAGAAAUUCAGAUUCAAAACCAGCCAUGCUUCAGAAGACUUGAUUGCUCGAGGAUCCAAGAGUCCAGUGACAUUCAGGCAUUCAGUUUUCAGAUUCAGAGAUUGCGAUGGCGUUUGGGUCGAAACGUAAGUUAGCAGAUCGGAGUGACAUCGAGGAGGAUGACACCAAUGAUGUUGAUCUCAUCAAUUCCGAUGAUGAGCGUAAUAGAGGACGCCUCUGAUCAACAAGAUGAAUCUGCCGAGCAUGGUACUGCAAAACCUCCUAAAUCCCUUCUAGAUGAGGUAUUUUUUCUUGAUGCACCUAAAGGGAAGAGCUCUGGUGGAUCAAGACCCUGGCGAUACAAACAUUGUGAUAAGAAGUACACAAGUAGUUAUACAAGAAUUCAUCAGCACUUCUUUGGUGUUGGUCCUGGCAAGACGAAACAAAUUGCUCGUUGCUCUGUCGCAAGUGAUCGCGUAAGUAUAAGAAAAUAUAUGAUAAGUAUCACCAACCUGAGAAAGUACAAGCUUCAGGCUCGGUGCCUAAAAAGCAAUUAGUAGAAGCUUUUGCUGGGGUGGAAAGAGAUGCAGUGGACAUGCAAAUAAUGUUGUUCCUUUGUGCUAAUGGAAUUCCCUUCAAUGUGUUGAGAAGUCCACAAUACUAUGAAAUGGUAGCAGCCAUCCAGAGAGCACCAAAGGGAUACAAACCUCCUGCAUAUGAGAAGGCUAGGACUACUCUUCUAGAUGCAUGUAAGAGAAAGGUGGAGAAUGAUUUGGCUCCGGUUAGACAAACAUUGUAUUCCCAUGGUGUCUGUGUUGUUUCUGACGGAUGGACAAACAUGAAGAACCAUCCAUUAAUCAACGUAAUAGCAUCGAAUAGCUGUGGUUCAAUGUUUCUGUACGCAGAAGACUUCUCUGGAGAAGAGAAGACAGGUGAAGCCAUUGCACAAUUCUUACUACAAGCCACUGAUGAGAUUGGCCCUUCCAAUGUCCUUCAGGUCAUCACUGAUAAUGCAUCUAAUUGCAGAGUUGCGGGUGAAGAAAUUCAGAGAGUGCAUAAGCAUAUAUUUUGGUCUCCAUGUGUGGAUCACACACUGAAUCUAGUAUUCAAAGUUUUUGCAAAAAAGUUUGCUUGGAUGGUUGAUACAUACCAGACUGGGAAAGCAAUUGUGAAGUUCUUUAGGAACCACCAGCACUUUCAAGACCUCUUUAGACGCAACUCCAAGUUGGAUCUUUUGAAGGUCUCAAAAACAAGAUUUGCUUCUCAUUAUAUUUUGCUUAAGAGGCUUAUGGAUGUUCGAGAGGCGCUCACAACUACCAUUGUCACAAGCAAGUGGAAGGAACUGGUGAAGGCUUGUGAUGUACAAACAAGAGCAGCAGCAAAUGCGAUUGCCCAAAAUAUCAUUGAUGAGACAUUUUGGGAUGAGAUUAAAAUCAUCCUUGACAUCACAAAACCAUUAUACAUGGUAAUCAAGUUCAGUGACGGAGAAGGUCCAAAAUCUGGUGAUAUAUACGGAAAAAAUGGACAAUAUGCUUGGCGAGAUGCAAGAAGUCAUGACAAGGGAAGAUAACCCUCACAAAGAUGAUUGGUCGAAGGUAAAUGACAUUAUUCUUCAUCGGUGGGGAAAGAUGAACUGGCAUUUUCAUUGCUUAGCGUUUGCUCUUUCUCCUAAGUAUUAUGAUCAAGCCUAUCUUGCAAGUCCUGCUCCUGGUGGUGGUCAAAGGAAAGCUCCAAAUGAUGACAGUGAGGUUAUGGAAGGUAUUAUAGAGGCUCUAAAUAGAAUUGCAGAAGAUAAAAAAGAGUAUGCUCUUUUACGUGAGGAGCUUAACACCUUUAAUGAAGAAAGGUUUGUAUGCAAUAGACGCCGUUCAAGCUGAUGCAGCCACGAUGAAUGCCAUAGAAUGGGGGUUCAAUUAUGGCUCACAAACUCCAACUUUAAGUGAGGUGGCAAAGAAAGUCUUGUCUCAGCCAAUAAGCAGCUCCUCUGCCGAAAGAAAUUGGAGUACCUGCUCAUUCAUACAUAAUGUAAAGAGAAACAAGUUGAAUGCAACGACAGCCGAUAAGCUUGUCUUUAUUCAUGCAAACGAGCGUCUGAAGAGGAGGUUUUUAGAGGGCUACAAUUCAGGUCCACAUUAUAAGUGGGAUGUUGAGCCUGAGAAUGAUUUGCUGGAGGAUUCAAGCUUGAAGCUUGAGCAGCUGUGUUGGGAUAGCUUGGAGGAUGAAGCAGCUGAUGCUGAACCACCACGCAAAAUUCAGAGGAGUUGAAACACUAGGAAGUGUCCGGUACUCCCUCCUAUCCUUUUUUCUUUGCGCAUAAGUAGAAAUGCGGAUACCAAGGAGGGACUCGAUGUAUAUUUUCUGGACUAUUUUGCCCCUUACAUGCAUGGGAGAGCCGCGGUAGUUUAAGAGCAAGUAUAAUAGAACUGAGUCAGCGGGCUAUAAGGAAUAAACUAGUAUAUUUCUACUUAGUUGGAGGAAAAAGAAGAGGAUAGAGAAGGUAAGCGGGCUCUUCGUGAAGAGCCAGCUCUAGCACGUGCUCUUAGGCAUUUUGUGAGAAUGAAAUGUGGGUCACAUAAUAGAAAAGUAGUACACUUUUUUAAUCUACUAUUGUAUAUGUUGACUGUAAAAUGGGCUGUAGAUGACAUGACACUGGCUUAUAGCCAGCGGCUGGCUAUACUAUUAACCAUGCUCUAAUUCCCGCAUGCAAGGGAUCAGUAA